rnacentral:pre_miRNA from 7 species
GCCAAAAUCAGAGAAGGGAUUCUGAUGUUGGUCACACUCCAAGAGUUUUAAAAUGAGUGGCGAACACAGAAUCCAUACUCUGCUUAUGGC